AGAUUGUGUUGAGGACAAUUCCUUAGCAUUCCCUUGUAUCUCUCCUAAGCUUCAUACAAAGAGUCACCAUUGUUUUGUUGGAAAUUUGCUAUCUUCAUCUUGAGUUU